UUCUGAUGGUGCUAUCUGCCUGGCAGAGCCCCCUCACGCCACAACAGACCUUGUAACUGAUGAAGAGGAUGAGGAAACUGUGUCUGCUGCCUUUACAGAGGGGGAUCCAGAAAGGCCUAUAGAGAGCAUGGCUGGGCAGCAGCAGGAGGGUCCCUCAACUUCCACUGCACAGAUUGACACAGUGAGAUAGAUGUUCAGUAAACACCAGAGAUUCAUUCUGUGGAAUUCAUGUGCAACUGUAUAAUUUAAUGUCCUCCUUAUGUAUUCCCAGUUACCAGUAAAAGAAGUUUACAAAAUUCACCUGCUGAAAAAAAUACAGAAAACCGAUAAUGACAUGCUAUACUUGGACCGCCAGAUUAGGAGGGCAGAUCUGGAAAUUGAAAUACUGGAGCACAAG